rnacentral:rRNA from 1 species
AUUGAACGCUGGCGGCAUGCCUUACACAUGCAAGUCGAACGGUAACAGGUCUUCGGAUGCUGACGAGUGGCGAACGGGUGAGUAAUACAUCGGAACGUGCCUAGUAGUGGGGGAUAACUACUCGAAAGAGUGGCUAAUACCGCAUGAGAUCUACGGAUGAAAGCAGGGGAUCGCAAGACCUUGUGCUACUAGAGCGGCUGAUGGCAGAUUAGGUAGUUGGUGGGAUAAAAGCUUACCAAGCCGACGAUCUGUAGCUGGUCUGAGAGGACGAUACAGCCACACUGGGACUGAGACACGGCCCAGACUCCUACGGGAGGCAGCAGUGGGGAAUUUUGGACAAUGGGCGAAAGCCUGAUCCAGCAAUGCCGCGUGCAGGAUGAAGGCCUUCGGUUGUAAACUGCUUUGUUACGGAACGAAAGACUCGGUUAAUACCCUGGAGCCAUGACGGUACCGUAAGAAUAAGCACCGGCUAACUAACGUGCC